rnacentral:rRNA from 1 species
UGCAGUCGAGCGCACCUUCGGGUGAGCGGCGGACGGGUUAGUAACGCGUGGGAACGUGCCCUUCUCUAAGGAAUAGCCACUGGAAACGGUGAGUAAUACCUUAUACGCCCUUCGGGGGAAAGAUUUAUCGGAGAAGGAUCGGCCCGCGUUAGAUUAGAUAGUUGGUGGGGUAACGGCCUACCAAGUCUACGAUCUAUAGCUGGUUUUAGAGGAUGGUCAGCAACACUGGGACUGAGACACGGCCCAGACUCCUACGGGAGGCAGCAGUGGGGAAUCUUAGACAAUGGGCGAAAGCCUGAUCUAGCCAUGCCGCGUGUGUGAUGAAGGCCCUAGGGUCGUAAAGCACUUUCGCCAGGGAUGAUAAUGACAGUACCUGGUAAAGAAACCCCGGCUAACUCCGUGCCAGCAGCCGCGGUAAUACGGAGGGGGUUAGCGUUGUUCGGAAUUACUGGGCGUAAAGCGUACGUAGGCGGAUUAGAAAGUAUGGGGUGAAAUCCCAGGGCUCAACCCUGGAACUGCCUCAUAAACUACUAGUCUAGAGUUCGAGAGAGGUGAGUGGAAUUCCAAGUGUAGAGGUGAAAUUCGUAGAUAUUUGGAGGAACACCAGUGGCGAAGGCGGCUCACUGGCUCGAUACUGACGCUGAGGUACGAAAGUGUGGGGAGCAAACAGGAUUAGAUACCCUGGUAGUCCACACCGUAAACGAUGAAUGCCAGUCGUCGGAUAGUAUACUAUUCGGUGACACACCUAACGGAUUAAGCAUUCCGCCUGGGGAGUACGGUCGCAAGAUUAAAACUCAAAGGAAUUGACGGGGGCCCGCA